AUUUUUUUGGUCUUAUUUCAGUUCCAGAUAUAUCAUUACUUUUUAACCUGAGAUGACAAACUAGAGGUUUUAAAAGGUCCUGAAUAACUGAAAUGGACAAAAAUACACAGAUUUAUUCAGAAUGUCAUACCGAUGAAGAUCACAUAAAAAUAUUUGUAAAAAUCAGAACUAUGGAUUGCAAUAUGGGACAACAUCCCUAAUGCGCCUUGAAAUGAGGAACUCAAAAGUCACGUGUAAAGAAAAAAUCUCUGUGUAGUGAUAUUGGACAUGUUUCUAUUUUUAACAAAUGACUGAACUUAAUUAUUUGUGGUGAUUAUGAAAGUAGAGGAACAUAGAAUAAAUGUGUAAAAACUAUGGAGCUAUUGAAGGUGUUCAAAGUAUUAAAUUUUCAAAGAA